rnacentral:rRNA from 1 species
AGAGUUUGAUCCUGGCUCAGGACGAACGCUGGCGGCGUGCUUAACACAUGCAAGUCGAGCGGUAAGGCUCCUUCGGGAGUACACGAGCGGCGAACGGGUGAGUAACACGUGAGCAAUCUGCCCUUCACAUCGGGAUAACUUCGGGAAACCGGAGCUAAUACCGGAUACGACCACAGACGGCAUCGUCAGUGGUGGAAAGUUCCGGCGGUGAAGGAUGAGCUCGCGGCCUAUCAGCUUGUUGGUGGGGUAAUGGCCCACCAAGGCGACGACGGGUAGCCGGCCUGAGAGGGUGACCGGCCACACUGGGACUGAGACACGGCCCAGACUCCUACGGGAGGCAGCAGUGGGGAAUAUUGGACAAUGGGCGAAAGCCUGAUCCAGCAACGCCGCGUGAGGGAUGACGGCCUUCGGGUUGUAAACCUCUUUCAGCAGGGACGAAGCGCAAGUGACGGUACCUGCAGAAGAAGCACCGGCCAACUACGUGCCAGCAGCCGCGGUAAUACGUAGGGUGCAAGCGUUGUCCGGAAUCAUUGGGCGUAAAGGGCUCGUAGGCGGUCCAUCGCGUCGGGAGUGAAAAGCUGGGGCUCAACCCCAGUCUUGCUUCCGAUACGGGUGGACUAGAGGUAGGCAGGGGAGAAUGGAAUUCCUGGUGUAGCGGUGAAAUGCGCAGAUAUCAGGAGGAACACCGGUGGCGAAGGCGGUUCUCUGGGCCUUACCUGACGCUGAGGAGCGAAAGCGUGGGGAGCAAACAGGAUUAGAUACCCCCGUAGUCC